rnacentral:rRNA from 1 species
UAAACUAGGAUUAGAUACCCUAUUAUAUAUAUAUGUUAAAUAUUUUACCUGAGUAGUAUUAGUUAUUUUCUUAAAACUUGAAGGAUUUGGCGGUAUUUUAGUCUAUUUAGAGGAAUUUGCCCCGUUAUCGAUAAUCCCCGUUAUAUCUUGCUUAUUUCUUGUUAUCAGUAUGUAUACCGCUGUUAUAAGUUUAUUUUAUUAGAAUUAUAAUUUACUUUAUUUAUUAUUAUAAAUUAUUUCAAGUCAAGGUGCA